GGAUGUGAGGGUGGUUUGGCUGCGACAUCUGUCAUCCCAUUGAUUGCCAGGGUUGAUUUGGCUGAUCUGGCUGGCUAGGUGGGUGUCCCCUCCCUCCCUGCUCCCUGUGUGGUCCUCCUGGCCGACCUUACCCAAUAGAGAGAGGACCAUUCUUCGGUCAAGGGUAUACUGGUACAGUAGCUGUGCUCCCCUGCUAGAACCUCCAAACAAGCUCUCAAGAAAGUAUGUUUGCCCUAGCUGGUUUGGCCCAGGGGAUAGAGCGUCAGCCU
rnacentral:snRNA from 1 species